rnacentral:rRNA from 1 species
CCCGCAACGAGCCCAACCUGGAUCCUUUGUUGCCAGCGGUUAGGCCGGGAACUCAAAGGAGACUGCCAGUGAUAAACUGGAGGAAGGUGGGUCCCGACGUCAAGUCAUCAUGGCCCUUACGACCAGGGCUACCCACGUGCUACAAUGGCGCAUACAAAGAGAAGCGACCUCUCGAGAGUAAGCGGACCUCAUAAAGUGCGUCGUAGUCCGGAUUGGAGUCUGCAACUCGACUCCAUGAAGUCGGAAUCGCUAGUAUUCGUGGAUCAUAAUGCCACGGUGAAUACUUU